rnacentral:sRNA from 12 species
CCCCCCAGGCCUCUCUACGAUGCUCAACACCGGGGGC